rnacentral:rRNA from 1 species
CUUGACGUAGACCCGAAACCGGGCGACCUACCCAUGAGCAGGAUGAAGCGAAAGUAAAAUUUCGUGGAGGUCCGAACCCACGAGCGUUGAAAAGCUCGGGGAUGACUUGUGGGUAGCGGUGAAAUUCCAAUCGAGCCCGGAGAUAGCUGGUUCUCCCCGAAAUAGCUUUAGGGCUAGCCUCAAGGUGAGAGAUACGGAGGUAGAGCACUGAAUGUCCUAGGGGGUAUUGCACCUACCGAAGACUAUCAAACUCCGAAUGCCGUCAUCUUAUACUUGGGAGUCAGACUGUGGGUGAUAAGAUUCAUAGUCGAAAGGGCAACAGCCCAGAUCGUCAGCUAAGGUCCCUAAAUGUAAGUUAAGUGGUAAAGGAUGUGGGAUUGCACAGACAACCAGGAUGUUGGCUUAGAAGCAGCCACUCAUUCAAAGAGUGCGUAAUAGCUCACUGGUCGAGUGAUCCUGCGCCGAAGAUUUCCGGGGCUAAAACUUACUACCGAAGCUACGGCAUCAGUAAUGAUGGGUAGGGGAGCUUCCCAUACGGGUUGAAGCAUGACCGUAAGGACAUGUGGACAGUAUGGGAGUGAGAAUGUUGGC